UCUUAUUCCAAGUGUCCUGAAAUUUCUGUGCAAAUGUCAUGGAGGAAGACUGUCCUGUUUCUAUUUAUAAAAUGUGGUUGUCAUUUGAAGGGGGAAGGACAGGGGAUUAAAAUUUUGAACUUUGAAAGUUAGUAUAGUUUGUAUCACUGCUAUUCCUUCUCCUAGGCCUCCCUCUACUCCUUGAUCACUAUGUUAACUGAAUUUUCCAAUUGCUAAGACCAGAACGUUAUCCGAUAAGAUGACCAUGAAGCAGCUGGGAGCCUCUGGAGGCUUCCUGUUGUCCUGUCUGGCAAGGCUUCAGAAACUGUGGGAUCCCAGUAAUACAACUGCGAGAAUAAGCCAAGGAUGGUAUAGUAAUGUAGUGGCCUGGGAUGGGCCACUCGUGCUUGGAAAGCAGAAGUGGUGCCUGAGAACCAAAUCAGCCAGACAUCAAGCUUUGGCUUGAUGGGUAAGUCACCUGCUCCAGCCUUUCCCCACCAAAACCCCAAAAGGGGAAUCAAGUCUGUUGACUUCCUGGAUCCCUUGAAAAGCAUGCCUGGGGUCAAGACAAAAGGAUUUCUCGGUAUGGGUACAGAAGUCACCUCACAAAGCACUCUGCUUGCCUCUUUCUAAUGUCUUUGCCAAUUCUGUAUUAUAGUUCUCUUAAUGUGUCUUAUCUAGUCUAUCAGUUUCAUUAGGGAAGGGCCCUAUGUCUAAUCUAACCUGUAUCCAGUGGUCUGUACAAAUAAGUCCUUAAUAAAUGUAGAACUUAAAAUUAAAAAGGCUAUCUCCCAACCACUUUUUCAGACCUCCAAGACCUUUGGUUUCAACCCAAAGGAAGGUUGCUUAGUUUGGUUCACAUUCCGUUGCAUAGUUUUCAAAGACUCUUCGGAGGUAACCUAGGAAUCACCAUCCUUUUUGCCUAUCCA